GGCUGCGGCGUGGGGGGGGAGGAAGAGGAGGAGGAGGAUGCGAUCGGCCUCCGCCUUCCGUCCUGAAACGCCGCGCUUCGCAGCAGGUUUGGUGACGGUGUGGCAGUACUGCGGUGGUCGUUGUGAUCGCUCAGCAACGCUUUUGAAAAGAAAGGAAACUUUACUCAGUGAAAGCUUUGCUCUGGAAGGAGGACUGUGUUGUGAAUUUGGCCACCUUGUCAAUUGAAGUCCUGUUUGGGGUGGCUUUGGGGGAUGGGGCGGGAUGCCCCUCUGGGUGAUUUAACUGUUGCUCUUUCUGAAAGCCUUGUAAAUACUGUGGGGGGCCGGUGGCGCUCCUCCUUUGCUGUGCCAGCUGUGUGCUGCAUCUUUUUGGGGGCCCCGGGCGAGGGAGGAUUUGUCAUUUAUAUAUAUUCUUAGAAGAGCCCUGGAUAGUUCAGUCUCAGGGUACUCUGUGCUUAGUGCUCUUGAACGGUGGAACCAGAGGCUUGGAAUCUGAGUGUGUUUAUAUGCACUCUUCUGUAAAAUGGAAAGGGUAACUAACACCUGACCUGCUUUUGCCCCUCACUUUAUCUGAGAGGCUCACGUGUGUGAGAUAAUGUGCGUGAAAGAUGUAAAACAGGAUGCUCUUUCUCUGUAAGGUGGCAUUAUCAAGCCGGUGGAAGGCAGCACUUUGCCUGUAAUUGGUCUCAAAAGCCUUAGAUGCGUGCCGCGUUGCCAUUGAGUUUAUUGCCUCAGCAAAGCAGAGUUUGGGGGUGAGAUUGUCGAUGGCAGGCUUUGGGAGAAGUGAUUGUUAUAUUUCACAUUAAAUGGUAUCCUUGAGAAACUCAUAAAUUGUAAGGUAAUCCUGUCUUAAUUGUGCUGGGCACGACUCCCACUCCAAUACCUUAAAUAACUGAAAACAUUUGCCUUUCAAAGCCCCAGUCCACUUGGACAAUAAAAACAGUUGCAUGCCUUGCUCCAAAA